rnacentral:rRNA from 1 species
AUUGAACGCUGGCGGCAGGCCUAACACAUGCAAGUCGAGCGGAUGAAGGGAGCUUGCUCCUGGAUUCAGCGGCGGACGGGUGAGUAAUGCCUAGGAAUCUGCCUGGUAGUGGGGGAUAACGUCCGGAAACGGGCGCUAAUACCGCAUACGUCCUGAGGGAGAAAGUGGGGGAUCUUCGGACCUCACGCUAUCAGAUGAGCCUAGGUCGGAUUAGCUAGUUGGUGGGGUAAAGGCCUACCAAGGCGACGAUCCGUAACUGGUCUGAGAGGAUGAUCAGUCACACUGGAACUGAGACACGGUCCAGACUCCUACGGGGGGCAGCAGUGGGGAAUAUUGGACAAUAGGCGAAAGCCUGAUCCAGCCAUGCCGCGUGUGUGAAGAAGGUCUUCGGAUUGUAAAGCACUUUAAGUUGGGAGGAAGGGCAGUAAGUUAAUACCUUGCUGUUUUGACGUUACCAACAGAAUAAGCACCGGCUAACUUCGUG